GAAAGAAAGGAGAAGAAAAAAAGAAGAAAAAAAAAGCAAACAACCCAAAGCACACAGCUCUGUGAGACUCUGACAAUCCCUGACUACUACCAACUAAAAUGGACAUUCAGAGCCCGUAAGGUUCCCAGAUUUUCAUCUGGUAGAUCCAGGGCAGAAGCAUGGAUGCUAGCGGCACACAGUGCUGCUGCGGUGGCUCAGACACAUCCAGAUGUCAUGGAACAGCAGCACUUGCUUGAGCUGGCAAGCAUGGGCUCAGUGGUGGUACCCUACUCUAGUGGUGAGCAACCCUGUAGAGAUUUGUCAUGUGGCAUGAGUGACAGGAAAGGAAGGGAACAGAUCCCUAACAAGGCUUUGUGACAAGCGUAAAGAAACAAUCACAUUCUUGUUAUUCUUCCUGGUAAUAAGGACAAUGUUUCUGGGAAUAUAUGGCACACCUAAUGGUACCUCGUAACAUGGCUGAUAAUGACACAAAGAGUGAGUGUAGUCAGUGAAACUGCAGCAUAUAAUAACGGCAAUUAACAGAUCUUCAAAGUAUUUUAAAACAACAAAAUCUAUUUUCAAUUCACUGGUGCUAGAAUGAGAUCAAGACCAAAGUCACUAAAUGGCAACUAAGAUUUUUCAGCGCAUGGUAUAAAAAUUUUGAUACAUGAACAACAUGCUUUUAAGUCAUGCUUUCUUCUUAUGCACAUGUGUAAGGGAAGCAAAGGAGGAUGUGGGAAAGCCUUUAAUCAGCUGAUUCUAAUUGUAUCUUCAGCACUCAUCCAAAGUCCCUAAAUAACUCUAGUUAAGGAUCUCUCUCACUUUCUCAUAAUCUAGGACUACACUUUCCUUGAUGCAGAUUUCUGCCUUCCUCCCUUCGAUCUUAAAUUAUAACUCAGUCUGACAGAAUUAGAUCUAUGCAGACAGACACGGUGGAAUGAGUGCAUAUGCACUGAGCAUGGAUGUUGCUUCAGAAGCAGCUGUCAAAGUAAUUAGCAUGUAGUAAAACAGAGCAAACCCACUUUACUUACACACUUUCUGCUCUCCUAUUUCAUUAUCUUUUAGGAGGCAAAAGGGUGUGGCUGGAUGUCAAAAAUGUGUGAGUGCAUCCUGCGGGCUCUGGGGAGGGCAAGGAACAGUCAUGCUGUGGGGCUGACUCCAAACUGUUUCCAGAAAUGCCAGUGAGUCACUUCUCCAGGUCUUCAACAGCAAUGCUGCAAGCCCUGCUAGCGCUUCAAGCCAAGAUACAUUUGGUGAUCACCAGUCCUCAGCCAUUGUACAGCAACAAGUGUUCCUGACUGGAGGAUUCACUGAAUUCUUUUGCCGUGCCAUUUAACUGUUAUUUUACUCUUCUCCCUCCUUGAAAUUCAGUUGUCAUUAAAUGUGUCCCUGGGGUAGUUGACACCAGCAUCCUUCAUCCUCAAGUUAAAGACUUACUUGAUUUCAAAGGGUGUUUUUACCUAACUAAAGACCGUUUCCCACACUUAGGCUAUACAAGCUUAUACAAGACAUUCUUUUUUUUUUUUUUUUUUUUAAUUUUAAGUUUUCUCUGUAAGUCAUCAAACCUGCGUCUUGUUUUAUGUCCUGGGCUUACUGAGUAUUCUUCUGUAACUGUAUUUUUAUCACAAGGCAAUAUUUAAGUUGCUGAAUGAAAAGCUUUUAUAGAUAGAAAUAUGUAAAUUUGGACUCUUGCUUCACUGAUAUUUGAAUCAAAGCCUUUGUUUUUUAUUCUUGAUUUUAGUCGGAUGAAGUUGUGGACUCCAGAUAUUCAAAUAGCUUAAUAGUAUUGCAGAGAUAGCAGCACAUAUUUUUCUGCACAGGGAGCAUUAAAACUGUUUUUUUUUUUCUUGAAUUUCUAUUGCAAUCAGGCAGCGUGGGGUACCAUUAUAGUAAAAUAUCUAAAUAAUAGGUAAGCAGAUUCAGUGAGGUGCAAGACCGAAAAAGGUUUUCUUCCAGCUUAAUAAAUAUCUGGAGGCCCAGAUCACCUCAGAGCUGCAGAGAAUGCAAAGCUUUGAAUGCUCAGGACAGCUGUUCUCCCUCCCUCGGUGGCCUGUUUGGUUAUGAUUGUACCUGAUCCAAACGACUGGCAGUAUUCCCCAAGUGACACAAAUACUACAGAGCAGAACAGGAGAGGAAAAAUUUUUGAGCUGACUGCAGUCGUCAAGAUGUCUGGGCAUUUACACCAGGACAACAACAGCAGCAACAUCGUAACAUGAUCGAAGCCAUUGGGAUUGCUUAGGGUACCUCAAGGAGUGACCUAUCCUUGCCCUCUCCCUGGCAAAGGGACCCAAAUCAGCAGUUCAGAGUUUCCACUGCAUGAAAAGUCUUGAAUGGAAAGAUAAAUUUUCAUCAUGAAAAUGUUUUGCAUUGGGAUGUUUAUAUUUGUAAUUUUCCAAGUUAAGGGGAAAAGAAAGUGAUUGCCUACAAAGCAUUAGAAGUAGACAAUGAAGUAAUAAGAAAGUUCACGUUAUGUGUUGAUCUUUGGAUAAUCAGAGAAGAAAGAAGACUUUAGAAAGAGGAGUAAUGUCAAAAAGAAUAUUUUAGGGUUAUUUUUAUAAGCGUUCCAGGUAAUAUUAACUGUGCAAGACUGCAUUCCAUUACUCCACUGUGUUACAAAAGCCUCAGCCUGAACUUUAGCUGUGUGUACAAAAAGACAGUGUAAGUACAGAUGUGUAAAGAGUGUAACAAUGUUUGUGACAGCUGGUGGAAGGUCAUGUUUGCACAGGAAUCAUGAAAGGAGCCAGCAAACAGAACUAUCUGGAAGGGAAAGUAAGAGCUUUCCUCUGGACUCAAUGAGUUUAAGUGGAAACAACAAAUGAGGCCUGCUUUUCUGUGGAUCUCUGAUCU
ensembl:lncRNA